UGGGGUAUCGCCAAGCGGUAAGGCACCGGCUUUUGAUGCCGGCAUUCCCUGGUUCGAAUCCAGGUACCCCAGCCA
rnacentral:tRNA from 20 species